rnacentral:rRNA from 1 species
GUGGGCCCUCGAAAUCCUGUGGCGGGAUCAUUCAGUCGUAGAGCGUCGCCGACCCUCGCCGGAAGAGUGCACGCGAAGGUUCCCGAGACUGGGGCCGUUCCGGCGAGACGUUGGUGGAUGACCCGACGCAUUUGUUUCCCGCCCGAUAGGACGCCGCGACCGGUUGGAGGACGACCUUAAGGGCUUGAGUCGGCAGGUGGCCGGUGGCUGGGACUCUUUUGUCUCGGCCGCCGGUUGUUAGCCUUUUCGCCUCACGGGACGUCCGCCGACCGUGGCAAUAGAGAGGCCUUGUUGGGCUUCGUCGUCUCCUCCCUUAAAGUGUGGCGGGUGAAGACACGUGACAGGGGUUCGUAGAGUAUGCGUCGGCGCACAGAGCACCUUCUGUGGUCAUUCGCUGCCUCGUCCCCGUUGGUUUUGCGUAUGCCCCGUGGGAGUGAUUGACGGUUUGCGGCGAGUAGGUCGGUCACCCACCCGACCCGUCUUGAAACACGGACCAAGGAGUAUAACAUGUGUGCGAGUCAAUGGGUCUCGAUGAAGCCCAGAGGCGAAAUGAAAGUUAAGGCGGGGAGGACUCCCCGCCGUGUCGAGAUCCCUGCACCUUCGCGUGCGGGGCGCAUCGACGACCCGCUCCUGUCUGCUCCGCGGAUGGGGCGGAGUCUGAGCACACACGUUGUGACCCGAAAGAUGGUGAUCUAUGCCCGGACAGGACGAGGCCAGAGGAAACUCUGGUGG